CACCUGUGGUAAAUUCAGUUGAUUGGACAUGAUUUGGAAAGGCACACACCUGUCUAUAUAAGGUCCCACAGUUAACAAUGCAUGUCAGAGCACAAACCAAGCCAUGAAGUCCAAGGAACUGUCUGUAGACCUCCGAGACAGGAUUGUAUCAAGGCACAGAUCUGGGGAAGGGUACAGAAACAUUUCUGCAGCAUUGAAGGUCCCAAUGAGCAGAGUGGCCUCCAUCAUCCAUAAAUGGAAGAAGUUUUGAACCACCAGGACUCAUCCUAGAGCUGGUCGCCCGGCCAAUCUGAGCGAUCGGGGGAGAAGGGCCUUAGUCAGGGAGGAGACCAAAAACCCGAUGGUCACUCUGACAGAGCUCCAGCGUGUCUCUGUGGAGAGAGGAGAACCUUCUAGAAGAACAACCAUCUCUGCAGCACUCCACCAAUCAGGCCUGUAUGGUAGAGUGGCCACACGGAAGCCACUCCUCAGUAAAAGGCACAUGACAGCCCGCCUGGAGUUUGCCAAAAGGCACCUGAAGGACUCUCAGACCAUGAUGAAACAAAGAUUGAAGUCUUUGGCCUGAAUGGCAAGCGUCAUGUCUGGAGGAGACCAGGCACCAGUCAUUACCUGGCCAAUACCAUCCCUACAGUGAAGCAUGGUGGUGGCAGCAUCAUGCUGUGGGGAUGUUUUUCAGCGGCAGGAAGUGGGAGACUAGUCAGGAUCAAGGGAAAGAUGAAUGCAACAAUGUACAGAGACAUUCUAUUCAAUUCAAUUCAAUUUUAUUUGUAUAGCGCUUUUUACAAUAGACAUUGUCCCAAAGCAGCUUUACAGAAAUAUCAACACGGUAUACAGAUAUUAAAGGUGCUAAUUUAUCCCAACUGAGCAAGACACUGAGUGGCGAUGGUGGCAAGGAAAAACUCCCUAAGAUGUUUUAAGAGGAAGAAACCUUGAGAGGAACCCGACUCAGAAGAGAACCCAUCCUCAUCUGGGUAACAAUAGAUAGUGUGAAAAAGUUCAUUAUGGAUUUAUAUGAAGUCUGUAUGGCCUUAGGAGAGAGAUCCUUGAUAGAUUAGAAAAUGUUGUUGGUAUUAAGGGAACAGUCCUGAGCCAGGAGAGGUCUUAUCUCACCGAUCGUUAUCAGUUCGUAGUUGUAAAUGGUGAUUUCUCCAUGCGUACUGAGGUUACUUUUGGUGUUCCACAGGGUUCUGUUUUAGGCCCACUGCUCUUUACUUUAUAUAUGCUACCCCUAGGUCAAAUUAUUCGUAAACAUGGAAUGAUCUUCCACUGUUAUGCUGAUGAUACACAGCUCUCUGAUCUACUGAAGGAUCCACACUGUAACCUGGAGACACUACACAUUAACUAUAAUAAACUCACCAGGACUGGCGUAUGACGGGAGUCUCACCGCAAACCUCUUCUCCAGGAUGAAGCAGUCUUGGUGAAGAGUUAGAACCCGUCCCACAUUUCCAGCAGUUUGGGAGCUGAAUCAUUAAACUUAAAGGGGCAGAGCAGAAACAAAGUCAAGAACAGGCAGAAGGUCGUACACAGGAGAAUUCAACACACAUAGCCAAAUAUCUGCUGUACAAAGCAACGGCACCGAUCUGCCCCGGGGAUGGAGACUGACGAGGCUUAAGUACACGUCCGGAAAUGUACAGCCAACUCAUCCCAAAGCACGAGGCGGGAGCAGGCGUGUACGAGAUGUGAUCGUCCAAUGGCAAGCCGGAACAUGACGCAUCGCAGUGGACUGGGCUUAAAAGAGGGGGAGACAGGACACCCAUCCCUCCCCCGACAUAGACACACGAAUGGAACAUAGUACAAACAGAAAUACAACUGAGGACGUAACAAUGGUCAAGUAUCAAAUAAAAUGUAAACUUGCAUUGAUUAAGUUAAUGUUGUUAGUAAUUGUUUAUAAAUUACCAUGGUAACGUGGAGCUCCAAGGUAUAAAAAUAUGGAGUUUGUCAUCAAACAGUAACCAGUUUUAAUACCUAAAAAAGUUUACGUAGCAAAAUUUAGCAAAGCGCUUUACAGUAAAUUAAAAUGUAAGAUUAAACUAAUUAAAUGUUGUGCAGCACAUGCUUAUGUUAAUGUUUGUUUCAUUAUAUGAUCAUAUAAAUAAAUAAAUACUCCCAAAGUCACCAGAAUUGAAAGCUUUUUGCUGUUAAACAUUUAGAGAUUGAGGUUGUGGUGACUCAGUAGUUCACUCAGUAUAUCUGGGUAAGACACAGUGAACGACUCACUGCUGGCAUUCAUGAAGAAGUCAUAAACUCCACUGGAAUAAUAAAUAGGAUCUAAUAAAACCAUGAGUGGAAAUUA